GUGGGGAAUAUUGGGCAAUGGGGGAAACCCUGACCCAGCAACGCCGCGUGAAGGAAGAAGGCUUUCGGGUUGUAAACUUCUUUUAUGAGGGACGAAGAAGUGACGGUACCUCAUGAAUAAGCCACGGCUAACUACGUGCCAGCAGCCGCGGUAAUACGUAGGUGGCAAGCGUUGUCCGGAUUUACUGGGGGUAAAGGGCGCGUAGGCGGGAUAGCAAGUCAGGUGUGAAAUCCGGGGGCUUAACCCUCGAACUGCACUUGAAACUGUUAUUCUUGAGUGAUGGAGAGGCAAGCGGAAUUCCUAGUGUAGCGGUGAAAUGCGUAGAUAUUAGGAGGAACACCAGUGGCGAAGGCGGCUUGCUGGACAUUAACUGACGCUGAGGCGCGAAAGCGUGGGGAGCAAACAGGAUUAGAUACCCCUGUAGUCC
rnacentral:rRNA from 1 species